rnacentral:rRNA from 1 species
CCUACGGGAGGCUGCAGUGGGGAAUAUUGCGCAAUGGGCGAAAGCCUGACGCAGCGACGCCGCGUGAGGGAUGAAGGUCUUCGGAUCGUAAACCUCUGUCAGCAGGGAAGAACGGUCACUGUGCUAAUCAGCAGUGAAUUGACGGUACCUGCAAAGGAAGCACCGGCUAACUCCGUGCCAGCAGCCGCGGUAAUACGGAGGGUGCGAGCGUUAAUCGGAAUUACUGGGCGUAAAGCGAUCGUAGGCGGUAUGUCAAGUCAAGGGUGAAAUCCCCGGGCUCAACGUGGGAACUGCCUUUGAAACUGGCAAACUGGAGUGUGUGAGAGGAUAGUGGAAUUCCAGGUGUAGGAGUGAAAUGCGUAGAUAUCUGGAGGAACAUCAGUGGCGAAGGCGACUAUCUGGCACAUAACUGACGCUGAGGAGCGAAAGCGUGGGUAGCAAACAGGAUUAGAUACCCGGGUAGUC